rnacentral:rRNA from 1 species
UACAGAGGGGGCAAGCGUUGUUCGGAAUUACUGGGCGUAAAGGGCGCGUAGGCGGCCACCUAAGUCAGGCGUGAAAUCCCUCGGCUCAACCGGGGAACUGCGUCUGAUACUGGGCGGCUUGAAUUCGGGAGAGGAAUGCGGAAUUCCAGGUGUAGCGGUGAAAUGCGUAGAUAUCUGGAGGAACACCGGUGGCGAAGGCGGCAUUCUGGACCGACAUUGACGCUGAGGCGCGAAAGCCAGGGGAGCAAACGGG